rnacentral:misc_RNA from 1 species
AAGUCGUAACAAGGUUUCCGUAGGUGAACCUGCGGAAGGAUCAUUACCGUAACUUUUGAGUUUACUCAAUUACUACUAUUCACAACGUGAAUUAAUGUGUUUGGAAAGGACUAAAAAUAUACAACUGUAAACGGUGAAUCACUCGGCUCACA